GGAAUAUUGGACAAUGGGCGAAAGCCUGAUGCAGCAACGCCGCGUGCGGGAAGAAGGCCCUAGGGUUGUAAACCGCUUUCAGCAGGGAAGAAACUGACGGUACCUGCCGAAGAAGGUUCGGCCACCUACGUGCCAGCAGCCGCGGUGACACGUAGGCACCAAGCGUUGUCCGGAUUUAUUGGGCGUAAAGAGCUCGUAGGCGGUUCAGUAAGUCGGGUGUGAAAACUCUGGGCUCAACCCAGAGACGCCACCCGAUACUGCUGUGACUUGAGUACGGUAGGGGAGCGGGGAAUUCCUGGUGUAGCGGUGAAAUGCGCAGAUAUCAGGAGGAACACCAGUGGCGAAGGCGCCGCUCUGGGCCGAAACUGACGCUGAGGAGCGAAAGCGUGGGUAGCAAAC
rnacentral:rRNA from 1 species